GAGAUGGUGCUCAGAGUGCACUCAAAAGGGAUGACGCUGCCAUAAAGAGCAUCUAAAUGAAGUGGAAGACAUUACAGGGUACCCCUAAUGCAAGACCCAUUCAGAGAGCUGGUUUACCUAUGGCCUGAAAACCACCGUGACAUACAGAAAGACCCUCGCAGGGGGAAGAACUUAAAAGUCCCUUUGAAAAUGGAAGUUACUAUUUCUCAGCAUCCAACAGUUCUCUGGUGACCUGAAUGGGAAGGGAGCCAGCCUCCAGCAAAUCUCUUCGUGAGGAGUGAGAAGCAGGACCAUGAAGCCGGCAAUAAAUAAAGGCCCAGCACAGAGAGUGCAGUGAGGAUGGAAAC
ensembl:lncRNA